UGAUAUUUGUUUCGUUCGCCG
rnacentral:siRNA from 1 species